ACACCAUGAUAGGAAAUGAUGUGCGACAAAAAAAAGAGAUGAUAGUAAAGAUGUCGUGACAAAUCAGUUUCUUUUUUUCCGUUUCACUUCUCCUCUUUCAUCGCUAAUUCAAAUCCGGGAGAAGAAAUAGAUUGAAAUGCUAUAAUAUUGUGUUUUUCACGCAAAGCAUACAACGACGCCUUUCUUUUAACUUUUCUUUUUGAUAUUCACAAAUUUUACUUUUCUUCAAAUUAAAUCAGAAUUAAAAAUCAACA
rnacentral:tRNA from 14 species